GUGAGGGAUAUUGGUCAAUGGGGGAAACCCUGAACCAGCAACGCCGCGUGGGGGAAUGAAGGUCUUCGGAUUGUAAACCCCUGUCAUGUGGGAGCAAAUUAAAAAGAUAGUACCACAAGAGGAAGAGACGGCUAACUCUGUGCCAGCAGCCGCGGUAAUACAGAGGUCUCAAGCGUUGUUCGGAAUCACUGGGCGUAAAGCGUGCGUAGGCUGUUUCGUAAGUCGUGUGUGAAAGGCGCGGGCUCAACCCGCGGACGGCACAUGAUACUGCGAGACUAGAGUAAUGGAGGGGGAACCGGAAUUCUCGGUGUAGCAGUGAAAUGCGUAGAUAUCGAGAGGAACACUCGUGGCGAAGGCGGGUUCCUGGACAUUAACUGACGCUGAGGCACGAAGGCCAGGGGAGCGAAAGGGA
rnacentral:rRNA from 1 species